rnacentral:rRNA from 1 species
GACGAACGCUGGCGGCGUGCUUAACACAUGCAAGUCGAACGGAAAGGCCCUGCUUUUGUGGGGUGCUCGAGUGGCGAACGGGUGAGUAACACGUGAGUAACCUGCCCUUGACUUUGGGAUAACUUCAGGAAACUGGGGCUAAUACCGGAUAGGAGCUCCUUCUGCAUGGUGGGGGUUGGAAAGUUUCGGCGGUUGGGGAUGGACUCGCGGCUUAUCAGCUUGUUGGUGGGGUAGUGGCUUACCAAGGCUUUGACGGGUAGCCGGCCUGAGAGGGUGACCGGCCACAUUGGGACUGAGAUACGGCCCAGACUCCUACGGGAGGCAGCAGUGGGGAAUAUUGCACAAUGGGCGGAAGCCUGAUGCAGCAACGCCGCGUGCGGGAUGACGGCCUUCGGGUUGUAAACCGCUUUCGCCUGUGACGAAGCGUGAGUGACGGUAAUGGGUAAAGAAGCACCGGCUAACUACGUG